rnacentral:rRNA from 1 species
UACGGAGGGUGCAAGCGUUAUCCGGAUCCACUGGGUUUAAAGGGUGCGUAGGCGGGCAGGUAAGUCAGUGGUGAAAUCCCCGGGCUUAACUUGGGAACUGCCGUUGAUACUAUCUGUCUUGAAUAUCGUGGAGGUGAGCGGAAUAUGUCAUGUAGCGGUGAAAUGCUUAGAUAUGACAUAGAACACCCAUUGCGAAGGCAGCUUACUACGCAUAUAUUGACGCUGAUGCACGAAAGCGUGGGGAUCAGACAGG